UGGGCGCAAGCCUGAUGCAGCCAUGCCGCGUGUAUGAAGAAGGCCUUCGGGUUGUAAAGUACUUUCAGCGGGGAGGAAGGGAGUAAAGUUAAUACCUUUGCUCAUUGACGUUACCCGCAGAAGAAGCACCGGCUAACUUCGUGCCAGCAGCCGCGGUAAUA
rnacentral:rRNA from 1 species